CGGGGGUUGAGCAUCCUCAAGAAAAGGAAGAAACUGGCACCUGUGCUCUGGCACCAGGAUCCUCCAGCUCAGAAUCCAUCAUCAGGCCCAAGGACUCCACCAAACAGAGAGCAUUUGAGAGGUCAGAGGAAUCAGAAAUGAUUGCCUUUGGCCAUUCGUUAUGAGUCAUGGACCCUGCCCUACUUUGUUGAAAGCAAGUAUCAGACCAUCUAAAAGGAAUUAAGAAGAAUGAAAUCAGAAGCAGUAAAACUAGAAGAAAAAAGAGUUUACAAUGAGACUUUACUGACCUCUUGGAGGGAAGAGACUUACCAGGGAGAAAGGAAUAUGAUUGUGGUGUUGAAGAUCUGCAGAGCAUAACAAGUGAAAAAUUGGAAAUAAUCCUUUUGACUAUGUGAUGCAGAAAUAAGCUGCUUUCUUAUCUUCAUUAAACAUGUCAU